GACGAACGCUGGCGGCGUGCCUAAUACAUGCAAGUAGAACGCUGAAGGAGGAGCUUGCUUCUCUGGAUGAGUUGCGAACGGGUGAGUAACGCGUAGGUAACCUGCCUGGUAGCGGGGGAUAACUAUUGGAAACGAUAGCUAAUACCGCAUAAGAGUAGAUGUUGCAUGACAUUUGCUUAAAAGGUGCAAUUGCAUCACUACCAGAUGGACCUGCGUUGUAUUAGCUAGUUGGUGAGGUAACGGCUCACCAAGGCGACGAUACAUAGCCGACCUGAGAGGGUGAUCGGCCCCACUGGGACUGAGACACGGCCCAGACUCCUACGGGAGGCAGCAGUAGGGAAUCUUCGGCAAUGGACGGAAGUCUGACCGAGCAACGCCGCGUGAGUGAAGAAGGUUUUCGGAUCGUAAAGCUCUGUUGUAAGAGAAGAACGAGUGUGAGAGUGGAAAGUUCACACUGUGACGGUAUCUUACCAGAAAGGGACGGCUAACUACGUG
rnacentral:rRNA from 1 species